CCAACGGCCCUCUUUAGGGCCACAUUUGUGACAUACGAAUCUUAU
rfam:Heligmosomoides polygyrus genome assembly, scaffold: HPBE_contig0008920